GUUUCUUUUAUUAUUAUUCUUUAGGCUUAGUUAUGAGACUGCAAAGAGAAGCCAAAAUGAAGAACAUCUGCCUGAAUGCAGCCAAACACACACUGCAGCAAACCCAGAAGCACAGGCUGAAGCAGGCAAGUGUAAUCUUGGAAAAAUUGAAGUGAUUGAGGCAUGAUGACAUCUUGCUGUGUUUACCUGGCGGGUCUGCAAGCCAUGUGAACAAAGGCCAUGAGAUGCCACGAAUUUUCUCCAACCUUCUGCUAAAAUGGGGCUGGUAAGCAUAGUGUCAAAUGGCUCUUGAAGUUUUUACUCUUGAGUGUAUAUGGGAAAAAAAUAAUCUGUGGAAGGUGGUGGCAAGUAA
rnacentral:lncRNA from 1 species